rnacentral:rRNA from 1 species
UACGUAGGGGGCAAGCGUUGUCCGGAAUUAUUGGGCGUAAAGAGCGUGUAGGCGGUCCGGUAAGUCAGCUGUGAAAGUCAAGGGCUCAACCCUUGAAUGCCGGUUGAUACUGUCGGGCUAGAGUCCGGAAGAGGCGAGUGGAAUUCCCGGUGUAGCGGUGAAAUGCGCAGAUAUCGGGAGGAACACCAAUGGCGAAGGCAGCUCGCUGGGACGGUACUGACGCUGAGGCACGAAAGCGUGGGGAGCAAACAGG